rnacentral:rRNA from 1 species
GAUGAACGCUGGCGGCGUGCCUAAUACAUGCAAGUCGAGCGAACGGACGAGAAGCUUGCUUCUCUGAUGUUAGCGGCGGACGGGUGAGUAACACGUGGAUAACCUACCUAUAAGACUGGGAUAACUUCGGGAAACCGGAGCUAAUACCGGAUAAUAUUUUGAACCGCAUGGUUCAAAAGUGAAAGACGGUCUUGCUGUCACUUAUAGAUGGAUCCGCGCUGCAUUAGCUAGUUGGUAAGGUAACGGCUUACCAAGGCAACGAUGCAUAGCCGACCUGAGAGGGUGAACGGCCACACUGGAACUGAGCCACGGUCCAGACUCCUACGGGAGGCAGCAGUAGGGAAUCUUCCGCGAUGGGCGAAAGCCUGACGGAGCAACGCCGCGUGAGUGAUGAAGGUCUUCGGAUAGUAAAACUCUGUUAUUAGGGAAGAACAUAUGUGUAAGUAACUGUGCACAUCUUGACGGUACCUAAUCAGAAAGCCACGGCUAACUACGUG